rfam:Oryctes borbonicus contig24520, whole genome shotgun sequence.
GACUUGGUGGUGUAGUAGCCAACGCACCCGUCUGGAAAACGGGAGACGUAGGUUCAAAUUCUACCCGUACCU